rnacentral:rRNA from 1 species
GACGAACGCUGGCGGCGUGCUUAACACAUGCAAGUCGAACGGUCAAGCGCCUUCCUUUUUGGUGGGUUGGGAGCGGUGGCGAAGGGGUGAGUAACACGUGAGUCACCUGCUAACUCCUUCUGGACAACCGCAUGAAAGUGCGGCUACUACGGGAUAUUUUGGGUCUGUCGCUUGAUGGGUCUGGGAAAGUUUUUGUUUCGGUGGUGGAUGGGUUCGCGGCGUAUUAGCUUGUUGGUGGGGUGAUGGCCUACCAAGGCGACGAUGACUAGCCGACCUGAGAGGGUGAUCGGCCAUACUGGAACUGAGACAAGGCCCAGACGCCUACGGGAGGCAGCAGUAGGGAAGCUUACGCAACGGGCGGAAGCAUGAUGGUGCAACGCCGCGUGAGUGAUGAAGGUCGUCGGCUGGUAAAACACUGUUAUCGGGAAUGAAGCUGUGCGUCAUCAUUUGUGCGCAUGUUGACGGUAGCUGAUCAGAAAGCGACGGCUAACUACGUG